CACCCCGCGGUGGGUGAGGGGGGGCGCAUCCUCCGCGCCCCGCCCGUACCCCGCCCUCGUUACCUCCGCGUCGCUUUGAUUCGGGAGCCCGCUCAGCCCCGCCGCUUGAUUGAUUUUAUCAUUAUUAUUAUUUUAAUUCAGAGGCGCCCUCCCUGCGCGGGGGCGCAAUGUCCCCCCGCUCCGCAGCCCCGGGGCUGCCCGGCUCCCCACGUCGGGGCCCGGCGUCCCGCACGCACCGAGCCCGCGGCCUUAAAAGGAGACGGGAGCCCCGGCCGGGGCCUGAAACUCGAGCUGGCACCGCGGGGGGCGGGCGGGGAUGGGGAUGAAGGGGGAGAUCAUGCAAAUCCCUCUGUUUAAAAAACUUCCAUUUGAGAAAGUGUGUCACAUCCCGGUGCGGGCGCGUAAUCCCCGGGCUAAUGGCAUUACCGCCGCCUCAUCGCCGUCAUGGGAUGGGGCCGAGGGCGAGGACACCCCCAGCCCACCGCCACGAGUGACCGCGGCUCGGCUCCCGCGGGGAACGGACCCGCAGAGUCCCCGCUCCGUCGGGGCGCCCAACGCCGGGAACCCCGCGGUCUGUGUCGGCCCUUCCCCGCGCCUCCCGGCGCCCCCCGGUCUCGGGGGUGUAUCGGUGUUUAUGGGUAAUCGGGGUCCGGUUUUCCGCCCAGGUUCACCGAGAGAAGCCGGUCCCAGGAGGGGACCCGAGGAUCAAAGCGAGGAUUUGGGACAGGCUGAGCUGCACCGUGCCCGGAGCGGUGGGACGGGGCCGGCCCGCGGCCCGCAGCGCCCGGCUCCGCGCCCGAGUCCUGGAGAAACGGGAUGAAACGGGGCGCGACGCGGAGCUAGGGAAGGGGCAGCGGGACCGGGAAGCUGAGCAGCGGGGCCGGGAGCAGAGCAGCGGGGCCGGGCAGGCGGCAGCACCAGCGCUUUGGGGAAAGGGAAAACAUCACCGGGGGUCUCCGCGCUCGGCACAACCUCCGAGGGGGCGAGCGGGGCCGCUGCUUCCCAAAAAUCCCCCUUCGGACGGGACCCCCGCCUGUUCCUGGGCAGCAAAACCCCGAAGGAGACCCCGAGGGCAGGGGAUGGCCCGAGCUGGGUCCUUCCCUCUGGUCUCUCUCCCUCCUUCCUUGUAAUUUUAAACAGUGCUGGUGGGUGCAACCACCCCCUGGUCACCAGUGGAAGGGAAAAGAUGCAGGGCAGCCCCCAGCCCCAUGGGGGUCCCCCAGCCCACCUGGCCCCAUCCUGUUAGCAGGGCAGGGGCCUUGCGCCUCCAGAAACCACUUUGUGUUUGGGGCCGGGAGUUUGGCAGAAGUUACAGCAUCAAAAGAGGGUGUGCAGCACCGAUGGGGGCUCACAUCCCGUCCUGUCCACUUCAGACGGGAUCUGGGAACAUGUUUGAAAUCACAUCUAAAGCAGGAUCUGACGCCGCUGUUCCUACGUCAUGUGAGUUGUGGUUUUGGUCUAGGUUUGACUUUUAGGAUUGCAGAAAAUCACCCUCUCAUGUUUAUAGGAGAGUGCAUUUCACUGCUGAGAAAAUAAAACCAGGCAGAAUAAGUCAUGGGCAGGAAAAGUGCUUUCCUAUCGCACCUGUUUGUUUCGUAGGUGUUUCAUCGUGGACAAAUUUGACAUGCUCCCAGCCCUGCAUGGAAGGGCCAACUCUCAUCACUUUUAUUCACAUUUCCUCAAAAACUCAGCGCUUCUCCGAGCUACUUUCUGACAGAGGCACGGGAAGGUGGAGCAGGGCUCUGCAGGCCGGACAGGCUCUUCCCAUCUUUCAAUUUUUAAAGCAAGCCUGCAAACUCAGACUGCUGCGGGGCAAUGCCCCAUCAUGGCCCUGGCUCCAGCAUCAUGCCCGGUGACAUGCCCAGGCACCUCUGUGUGUGUUCCAUUUUCUCACUAGCCAGCUUUUUUCUUGCUUCUCUGUAGGUGCUGGGCUCUUGCGCUGAACCCCCCAGGGGGUUUGGGGGUCUUGGUACGGGCACGCAGCGAGCAUGCUGAAACCUGCUACGCUGAAGUGCCUCCUCUCCCAGCUCCUCGCCCGCAGUGCCGGCAGACUGCUCUCUCUAGGCGUGUUUUCCAUGGAUACCUCAACGGAGGCAGCACCACGUAACAAGUAAAUAACAGCCCCGCCGCCGGGCUGCCGGCACAAAGCAAGCAAUUCCCCUUUGCGCAGGUCACUAAUCUCUUGGCACAUGGUCUUUGAGACCUGGGCCACGGGGAGGAAGGCUGAAAGGGAAGAAAAGAUAGCAGGGACAAUGGCAGGGCCGCCGGCUGGCUAAUAACCCCUCUCCCGGCUUUGUCUGGGUACACUCAGCACUACGCUGGGAUCAAUUCAUCUCAGCAGAAACAACCACACUCCUGCACUGCAAAGGGGCCGGUGUCUGCCCUCACCGUGGGUGCCCCGUGAGGAUCCUGACUCACCGGGCUAAGUGCAAAGCUUGAGACACUGCAGUUGCCAUCUGUCUUCCAUCCUUCAAAUCUCACCUUAAAAACAGUGCCUCUUGAGCAAAUCCUCCCCGCCGUCCCCGCGUGCCGUCUCGCCCGGCACAGGCCUGACACUACAAGCACUCAUUGAAGUGAAGGGGAUUUGAGAGCGCGCAGGACACGGCGGGAUUAAGGCCACAGAUUGCGCUCCCUGGGCUGCACUGUGCCUGCAGAGCUGCCUGGUGCUGCCAGCCCCAAGCCCAGGGCUCUUCUGCUCCCUCUGCUCCGCUGCUCCUCCUUCUCACCACCUCUGCCACGCUGGCCGGCACACGUGCAAUCACCAUUCCUCUGCCCUUCACACGCUGGUGGGAUGGAGAGAAGCACCUGAGCCGACCUCCCCGGAUGCCGCCGAGUACCCUCCUCUGCAGAUGGGAGGAGAGGUCACCUCCUGAGCCCUGGCGAGGGGGUGCAGGCUGUUUCAGGUGGGGGCUGCUGUUUGCACAAAUGCAGCGGGUGCCGUCCCACGUUGUGGGGUGCCGUCCUGCACCACCCAGAGGCAGCAUGUGCGGGGCGGCCCCGGCCAAGCCUGUGAAUCACGCGUACAUCAAAGCACCAGCAGUGCAAGCACUAACAACCCCAGCAGCUAGCUCGAGCGGACAGUGCCUGCGCAGAUGUGCAGCAGCAGCUUUUCUCAAUUACAGAGAGCAGUAGAAUUUACCAGAAAACUCAGGGAAGGGAAGGCAAGGCAAGGGAAGGCAAGGGAAGGAGUCAUGGCCAGCAGAGGGGCUGCAGCAAAAGAGCCUACGCGCUUCUUGCAGCUUUCCGGGCCAGGUCACAUCACCACCUCCCUCCAUUUUAGCACUGGUAUUACAUCAUUCCAUGCUUCCCUGCAGCCCUUGCUGUGGGGGUCACUUGCUCCCACCAAAAUCUUGGUCUUUUUAGAAAACCCCACUUUGCAGGGCUUCAUGGGCAUAGAGGAGAGCUGAGGCAUGACCACAUCUGAUCUGAACCUUUGGAGCCAGUGAGAUUCCUUCUGGAAAACAAACCCACAUGAUUUCAAAGCCAAUCGUGUGACCUGCAGCAGUGUGACACAUGGUGUUUUUCUGUUGAGCCUGGCAAGGGCAGGCCUGAUCCUGCCCAGCUCCCCAGACACCGUGGACUACCAGGAGCAGGAGUCUCGUGGUCCGGCCUGGUGCCCGGUGGGACAAUGGCAUCCCUCCCACAUGACAGCUGGACUUUCCCCUUUCGACAGCAAAAGGAGCAAAAUUCAACGUACCUUGAGAAGUGGCUGCAAUAUGAACACCCUUCCUGUGGGAGGAGAGGCAGCGGCAUGUGCCUGGUCCUCCUUGACUGUGUCUUGCCCAUCCCUCCCAUGGAGGGAGUUAGGGGAGAGGGUGCGAUGUGGGGUGGCAGGACAUGGGGCUGGCUCUUCACCCUGGGCUGCAGGUGCUGCCUCCAGUUUUCUGCUUGAAUGAAGCUGCUGGUCUGAACAUGGCUCGUAACCUUCAGCCUACAGCGGAACCUUGCUAAAGUCCUUUCCCCAGGUUGUUCAAAAACGAACAUGCUUGCCCAUCGUUUCCACCUGGGACUGUCAGGUAUGGCACAUCGCAGGGGCUGGUGAGCCUGGGAUACAGAGAAACUUGUGCUCCCUCCAAAACGCAUCAGGGGUGUCCCCGUCCUCCUGACACUGAAGUGUAUUUAAGUGAAAACACAAUCAGUUCUUACUCAUCCUGCUUCCCACGGCAUGGAGCGGGAGCAAAGCCCCACGAGCCGGCACUUCUCACCUCCCUGGAGCAGCGGCUGCAGGGAGAGAGGCUGGGAUGGGAAGGGGAUUAGCACCCAGCUGGCACUGGGCCACCACACGGGCACAGCCAGCACCAGCCUUUUAUUACCAACCUAUAAUAAUAUUGUAAAUACUCACUGGGAAGUAAUUACAUCCUAUAAAAGAAGCAGCAGUCUGUGGUUUGAGCCAGGACCGGUUCAUGACACUUGUUUUAAAGAGACGUUUCAUGUCUUGUUUAUAGAUUAGAUUUUAACCUGACAACCUUUUAACAUUGUAUUAAAUUAGAAAUUAACUUCGUA